rnacentral:rRNA from 1 species
UGAGCUUGAUCCUGGCUCAGGACGAACGCUGGCGGUAUGCCUAAUACAUGCAAGUCGAACGCUGAAGCACUCUGCUUGCAGAGUGUGGAUGAGUGGCGAACGGGUGAGUAACACGUGGGGAACCUGCCCAUAAGAGGGGGAUAACAUCCGGAAACGGGUGCUAAUACCGCAUAGGUGAUCAUAGCGCAUGCUUAGAUCAUUAAAGAUGGCUUCGGCUAUCGCUUAUGGAUGGCCCCGCGGCGUAUUAGCUAGUUGGUGAGGUAAUGGCUCACCAAGGCUGUGAUACGUAGCCGACCUGAGAGGGUGAUCGGCCACACUGGAACUGAGACACGGUCCAGACUCCUACGGGAGGCAGCAGUAGGGAAUCUUCCACAAUGGGCGAAAGCCUGAUGGAGCAAUACCGCGUGAGUGAAGAAGGUCUUCGGAUCGUAAAGCUCUGUUGUUAGAGAAGAAUCAAGAGGUGUAGUAAACUGGCACCUCCUUGACGGAU